ACUUAUAUUCUGUAGCAAGGUUAACCGAAUAGGGGAGCCGGAGGGAAACCGAGUCUUAAUUGGGCGUUAAGUUGCAGGGUAUAGACCCGAAACCCGGUGAUCUAGCCAUGGGCAGGUUGAAGGUUGGGUAACACUAACUGGAGGACCGAACCGACUAAUGUUGAAAAAUUAGCGGAUGACCUGUGGCUGGGGGUGAAAGGCCAAUCAAACCGGGAGAUAGCUGGUUCUCCCCGAAAGCUAUUUAGGUAGCGCCUCGUGAAUUCAUCUCCGGGGGUAGAGCACUGUUUCGGCUAGGGGGCCAUCCCGGCUUACCAACCCGAUGCAAACUGCGAAUACCGGAGAAUGUUAUCACGGGAGACACACGGCGGGUGCUAACGUCCGUCGUGAAGAGGGAAACAACCCAGACCGCCAGCUAAGGUCCCAAAGUCAUGGUUAAGUGGGAAACGAUGUGGGAAGGCCCAGACAGCCAGGAUGUUGGCUUAGAAGCAGCCAUCAUUUAAAGAAAGCGUAAUAGCUCACUGGUCGAGUCGGCCUGCGCGGAAGAUGUAACGGGGCUAAACCAUGCACCGAAGCUGCGGCAGCGACACUGUGUGUUGUUGGGUAGGGGAGCGUUCUGUAAGCCUGUGAAGGUGUGUCGUGAGGCAUGCUGGAGGUAUCAGAAGUGCGAAUGCUGACAUAAGUAACGAUAAAGCGGGUGAAAAGCCCGCUCGCCGGAAGACCAAGGGUUCCUGUCCAACGUUAAUCGGGGCAGGGUGAGUCGACCCCUAAGGCGAGGCCGAAAGGCGUAGUCGAUGGGAAACGGGUUAAUAUUCCCGUACUUGGUGUUACUGCGAAGGGGGGACGGAGAAGGCUAUGUUGGCCGGGCGACGGUUGUCCCGGUUUAAGCGUGUAGGUGUGUGUUCCAGGUAAAUCCGGUUCACUUUAACACUGAGGCGUGACGACGAGGCACUACGGUGCUGAAGCAACAAAUGCCCUGCUUCCAGGAAAAGCCUCUAAGCAUCAGGUAACAUCAAAUCGUACCCCAAACCGACACAGGUGGUCAGGUAGAGAAUACCAAGGCGCUUGAGAGAACUCGGGUGAAGGAACUAGGCAAAAUGGUGCCGUAA
rnacentral:rRNA from 1 species